rnacentral:lncRNA from 1 species
AUCGUUCUAGGCCGGGGAUUAGGAGGGAUUGCUAAACACUUGAAAACUGACUUAAAAACAUAAAAACAAAAUUUAAAACACUAAACUAGACUCAAAGAAUGCAAAACUAUACUUUAAAAUACUUAAACAAACAUAAAACUCAAAACAGCAACCUAAUGACUCAAAACUGCCUAAAAACCACUUUCUGGGCAGUUUUGAGAACCUAACAAGAACUUGGACGAAGUUGGAUGAAAACUUGAAUCAAAACACUUAGAAACACAAAUCAAAAUACUUUCUAACUAAUCUAAGACUUCAAAAUAAAGGGGGAUUUGUUUUGGACGAAAAUUGAAAACAAAACAGAAACUUUAAAACAAAACAGAUUGUAAAACGUUUUUGGAUGAAAAGGAUGGAUAAAAGGCUAGUUAGGAGGUUCUUCUCCACACAUGACACACUUGCAAACAAAAUGAUUUUCAGUUGUUCUUUCAAUAAAUUAUGAAACUCAACACCCCAAGUUAAUUAGAUACGCUUAAAUUAACCUUCAAGUUCUCCUUCAGUUAAUGAAUUGGAUGGAAAAGCGCAUACAACAAUUCAAAGCAUUCCUCAAAGGUUCCUUACGUGAUGAGCACAAUAAAGAUACAAUCAAGAAUCAUGAAGCACAAUGAGAACUAUAAGUGUUGACGAGGCAUUCGUUACUAUGAUGAGCAUGAAACUAGUGCCAAGAAUUCAUUCAACGCGAUCGUUUUCAAAGCGACCUUCACUACUUGUGAUUAUAAGAUUGUAACUAUUAGGUGAAACUCCCUCAUAAUCUAGCAUCAUAUUCAUGCAUGAAAACUAAGCGUGCACUCUCAAUCAACAUACACAAAUAAGUUAUCAAUCAAGUAGAUGAACGAAUUGAAUCCGCAACUUAUGAAAUAACAACUGAAUGUAAUCAAAUCAUAUUGCAAAACAUGUACAUGGUUUCGAAUCACCCCCCAACUAAGGGGGUUUAGUUCCUCAUUCUUGCAAUACAAAGAUACAUAAAAUUAGACAUUAAAAUCAAAGGAAAUAAAACACCUAAAAUGCUCCAACUUGGAAAGCAAGUGCAUCAAUGGAUCUCCCUUCCUCCUUGUUGCGACAUGAAGCUUGUGGACAGAUUUUUGGGUGGAUUUAUGGUGUAGAAUGGAUGGGGAAUGAUAUGGAGGGGUUUAGGGUGAGUGUGGAAGAGUGUUUGAUGGUUGGAAGGUGGUGGAGAACUAGGCAAAGAGGGUGGAAGAAGGUGGAGUGGCUGUUAUGUUUUCUAGGCACUAGAAUGGUGUUUUUUUGGGGUGUUUUGCUUCCUAGGGUGUGUAUGGACGAAUUUCUGUGAUAAAAUGAUGAAUAUGGGGGAUUGUUCUUUGGCCAAGGGGUGUAAACAUGUAUUUAUAGGCCCCAAAAACCUUAGAAAAUCAGGUUAGGUUAAGGAUGAAAUGCAUGGCAAUUUGUGUGUGUGGUGUGCAAUGGUCCAAGGGUGAAAAUGAAGUGAUGAUACAAAGUGUGAAGGGUAAAAUGGAGUGGUCUUGAAGCUAGGGAGCAUGAAUGAUUGUGUACAUUGCAUAGAGAUGGAAAGGGAGGUGAAAAUGUGUCAAUAAAUGGGUCAAAGGUGCAGCAACAUGUGGUACACAAGGCAUGGGAUUCCAAAUGUGAAUGAUGGAGCAUCAAUUGGUGCAUGUAAUGGAUGUAAAUGUUGUCUAAAAUCUAAUGAGUGAAGGGAACAAGAGGUAUCAAGCAAUUGAGUGUAAUAAUUAAAUGAAUUGAAGCAUGAAAUUAGAAAUUAUGUAGGGGACAAGAGUGAUCAAGCAUGGCAUGGAAUCCAAAGGGAAUUCUAUGUGGUUUGCAUGGCAAGGAAUGCAAGUUGGGGUGACAGAUUUUUGGGCUGUUUUCUUCAUCUUUUGGACCAUAAUUCUUCAUAUUCUUGGCCUCUUUAGUUCUCAAAUUCGUCCAUCCACUUGGCCCAUGCAUUUGCUAUCCAUUCCAAGCCCGAAACAUGCUCCAAAGGCCUCCAAAAUGUAUCUUCUUGCAUACUUUGUACUUAGAGUCUUUCACUUUGCAUGUGGGCUUCUUUGCAUGUGUAUGAGUUGUCAUUGUUUAUCCUUGCAAUUACACACACACACUUGCACACACAUAUGCCCAAAACGUCCAUCCUCAUGCAUGCAAUCCAUUUGAGCCCAAUAUUGAUCCAACAUGCACCAAAAUGCACUUUUCUUGCCAAUGUUGUUAUUAAGACCUACAAACAAAUGAAAAUGGCUUUAAACACUAAAAUAACUAAAGAAACACAACGUAAACGCACAAGAACAAGCCAAUUAAGUCGAAUAAAUAUGCUCCUAUCAAAUUCCCCCACACUUAGCUUUUGCUAGUCCUCGAGCAAAACAAAGAAAUAAAACGAAACAAAACAAAUAAAACACAACCUAAACCUUCCAACAUUUGCCUCAGGGAUUUCCAAUGCACAUGACAUGUUAAAAAUCAUUAUCCCCACAGAUUUGAGUCAUCUUUACUUAAGCACAUACUUAAUCAUAGUCACCACUUACUAGUUCACAAUUAAUCAAUUAAAACAAUGUUUUUGAUGUAGUAACAUGCCUUUGAGAAUUCGCUCAAUUCCUUACAAGAUAUGCACUCAAUUUUCACUCAGAUUUUCCAACUACACACCCUAUACUAGUUAUAUGUGAGAAGAUUGAUGUAGAUAUGAAAAUGAAUGCUCACAUAUAUGUAUCACAAAGAAAGCAAUUUAUGAAGUUAAUACGCAUGUUUAGAUAUGAUCUCAUGAAUGGAAUGCUAUUACUUAGACGCGAGAACCAGUGACACCAUAUGCUCAUACCAAAUUCAAACUCCACAAAUUGAAACACAUAACACUCAAGAUUGAAGUCAAAGGUUGUAACGGGCUUGGGGUGUUGGCUAACAAAUGAAGGAUAGGGAUAACAAACGUUCUUAAAGCAAUAGCAAGAAAAGUAAUGAAAUGGAAACUUAGAAUUCACUUAGAUUGCAGUAAUCAACUUUUAACACGAAGGGAAGAUUCAAGCAAUAUUUAGGGCCGAAUUCAAUGUUUUGGACCCUUUCUUCAACAAGCAACACUUUAAAACUCUUUUUCACAUAUUUUUCAACUCCUUUUCACAGCUCUUCUUCUUUUCAUUCUAUUUUUCAUGAAUCUUUCUUUUCUACUCAUGCCUUAUGAAUGAUUUUGGCAUACACACACACAAGAAUCACUUCCCCCACACUUGUUUUCUGCCAUACAUUAAUCAAAAGGAAUUCAAUUUGACUCAUACUUUACUAUGCUUCAAGAACAAGGGUAUGGAUGGUCCUAAACUAGGCUAGGUAAGGAUAAUGUGGUUUAACAAAGAAUGUAGGCUAUCAAGGCUCAGUGGGGUUAACUUAAACAUAUAACGAUAUGGGAUACAUGGCAGUUUGGCUUUGGUGGUGGUAACUACACAACUUCAUCUUGAAUAUGUGUUAUGCAAAUCAAUAGCAUGCUUUGAAUGAAAUAGGCAUGAGUUCUAGCAUUUGGAACUAAAUGAUGAAACGCCUUCUAAGUAAUAACCAAGCAAAGAAUAAUGAGAUCAUGCAACGACUUUAGAAAACAAGAAUGCACAGAUUUUAACUCUCCAAAUAAACGUUUAAGCUCAAGUCUCACAAGGUUGUAGCGUUAGUUUGAGUUCUUUCCUUCAAGCAUGUUACAAAAAAAACUAAUUUUUUUUUCUUUUAUGAUUACAUGUGAUUUCAUAAGUUAUAACCACAACCACGCAUAAAUAAAGAGUAAAUCAAACUUUCAUCCAUGUUUAUAACUCUCUUUAACAGUCAUGCAAUUACAAACCGAAUCCUCAUCAUUGUGUUGGAAGGUACCCUAAGACACAAAUAAGCACACAAAAACAACUCUUUUUGGGAUUUUCAAAAACAAUUUUUCAAAUUUUUAUGAAUUUUCGGAUUUUUAUAUCAAAACACACUGAAACACUCCAAAACAGCUUAAAAAUACUUAAAACAACAAGGAACAACACUAGAAGUAAUGGGUGAUAAUUUUCUACGAAUUUUAUGCAAAACACUAGUUACCCCCCCCACACUUAAAUCAAACAUUAUCCUCAAUGUUUCAAGUAUAUACUCACACAAAAAACAAGCAAAUAAACAAACGACAAAUAAACAUGACAAAUAUGGCAAAGUAAAAACCAGACAGAGUAGAGUUUAAGAACGCAAAUCUGGUUUUGGAGAUAGUUGAUCUUGUUGACUUUCCACAGCUUUGAUCUUGAACUGGAUUGGAAUUGUACGGCGAAGCUUUUCUCUUUGGCGAUGGUGCAAUUCCUUAUUUGUUCUCCAAGCAGAUGUGGCAGCUUCUCUAGUUCUUCAUCUCAGACUCCUUCCGCUGGGAUGAUUGUGCAAGCUGCAUUCUUCUCUGCUUGUUUCUUCUGCACGACGGGCAGGCACGAGGGAGAGGUGUUGGUCUGUUUCUUUCUUCAAUCUUUCCAAGUGCCCACCUCUUGCUUUCUUUCUCCUUGUCCCUAGUUGAGGAUGAAUCAGCACGUUGUCUCCACAUGCUUCGAGGUAUCAUCUUCACUUCCCUUAUACGUGAGAGACGAAGCGGAAGCACAAGAUGAUGAGUACUCGAGAGCAGGUGCUGGCUGGAGAAAGGACAGGGAGAAAGCAUGAUAUGAGAUACUCGUGCUCUCAACCUUUAUGAUAUGAAAUACUUGGGCUCUGGAUGGGUUGUUUGCAGGGGUAUCCCAGGGGAUGAAAAAUACAGAGUGACUCGAUAGGGUUUGUUGGAAAGCCAUUUCAGAGAGGAUGAAGGGUUAAGUGAGGCUGAAAGUUGGGUGAGACUGCUUCACUUUGAAGUUCAACAUUUAUAGAAUUUUCUUAAUGGCUGGGAAGGCAUUGUUCCAUUACUCGUGUCGGCAAGCUUGGGAUAAUUUAACAGUAGUUUCCACGUGCAUUCCGCUUCUCCAAAAAAAUUUCGACAGAUUGCGCGUGAUUUACGCAACGCAGAUGUGCAAAUUGACAGAUGCUGACACGUCUCGAUAAAGCAGAGGUCUCUUUAAUAUCCGGAAUUUACGCUUCGAGUUCUGAGCUUCGUUGAGGGCAGAGAUUGCAUGUGACAAGUGCUGACGAGGCUGAGAGAGACAGAUGGUUGGAAUCGGUGCUUCGACAGACUGCCCGUGAUUUUCGCAAACCUGAGUUGCGUGUGAUGGGUGCUGACGAGGGUGAGACAGUUGACACUCUUCGGUAUCUGGAAUUGGUGGUUUGUGAGCAAGCCCAACUUUUGAGAAAGCUGGCGCCUCUUCGAUCUCCGAAUGGCUUCUUCGAUUUCUGAGCUCACCUCUUCGAUCUCUGAAAUCCCAUCGCGUGCUGAUUUUUAUAGAGGUAUGCAGGACGUUCAAAGCACUCUUGAAUUUCUGCCUGUAAAAACUCCCGUUUUGCACUUCUACGAUCUUGACUUGUCCGAUCUCCUCUUUCUUUAACACCUCUGAAAAAAUGUCUGGCCCUUCCGACCGUCGUUUUGACUUGAACCUUAGUGAAGGAGCAGCCCCUCAUUCUCCAGACAACAUAUGGCACUCGUCCCUCAUAUCCCCUACUGGUCCUCUUACCGUUGGGGAUUCGGUGAUGAAAAAUGACAUGACCGCUGCGGUGGUGGCCCGGAACCUUGUCACCCUCAGAGAUAACAGACUGCUCGCUAGACGGUCUGAUGAAUUGGCAGUUAAGGAGUCUCUGGCUCUUAGCGUGCAGUGUGCGGGUUCUGUGUCCAACAUGGCCCAACGCCUAUUUGCUCGAACCCGUCACGUUGAAUCGUUGGCGGCUGAAAUACAGAGUCUCAAAGGAGAUUAGAGGACUCAAGCAUGAAAAUAAACAAUUGCACAAGCUUGCACACAAUUAUGCCACAAACAUGAAGAGGAAAAUUAACCAGCUGCAGGAAACUGAUGGUCAGAUUUUACUUGAUCACCGGAGGUUUGUGGGUUUGUUCCAACCGCAUCUGCCUUCGUCUUCUAGGGCGGCACCGCGUAGUGAAGCUCCAACUGAUCAACCUCCGAUACCUCCUCCUUCCGUGGCCCCACCGACUGCUGAGACUCCGCCGACUACUGCAACUCCGCCGACUACUACGACCUCUCCCAAGCAGCCUUUGUGAAGGCUCCCUCUUGUAUUAUGCUAUGUUUCUUUAUUUCCCAGUUUGCUGUUCAUUUCCACGAAGUUUAAUGUUAAAAUCCUUUGCAUAUUUGUUAAUGUUUCAAAAUAGAAAGUCACAACCAAAAAUAAUUAAACAAGUAAUAAAAUUGACAAUCAGGCAAAAUAAAAAUGCAAAAAAAAAAGGAAGGUUUUUAGAAACGCAAAACUGCUUGCGGGCGAUUCAAAAAAAAAAAAAAAAAAAAAAAAAAUCUUCCUCAUUUGAAUACAUGGGUUGCCUCCCAAGAAGCGCUUGCUUUAACGUCUUGCAGCCGGACGAUGCUUCCAUUCAAACUUCCCUAGGUCCCACGACAUGGAAUUGAUCCUUGAAUGGAAGGUGAUACUUGAAGUGAUCCGGCAAUGGUGUAGAUUCGAGAGUGGGUGCCUGAAUCAUUAACAAAAUGUAAGUAUAAAACGUAAUGGAAAUUGGAGUAGAUGACUUACUUUUUCGCUCCGUUACGAACUCAAGGAUGAACACCACUUCUUUGAAAGUUUCAGGGACUUUGAAUUUGGCCAGAUUUACUAUGAUGGGUGUGAUUUGUCUCGUGUCAUCAAUCUCAACUUCUUUGGGCUUUGUUGUUUCAAAUAUGUCUUCCUUGCUGAAUUCUUGACAUUCUCUAGCCACUUCUUUUUCUUGACUCCUUCUUCUUGGUGAACAAGGUUCUUUGAACACUUCAACAUAAUCUGGUACUUGAUUUGGUGUGCCAAGAAUUGGGAUAUCACUUUGCAUCUUUGGAAUGGCUUCCAGAAUGUCUUUUGCACUCUCUUCCUCCUUGGAAAUCAUGAACAUGCGAGAAAAAGAGACAUUUGGUGGAAUAGGGUUAGAAAGAAGUGAAUGUGGAAUAACAUUACCUGAAUUAGAUGGUGGUGGAGCUUUUAGGAGGCUGCGGCAAGGGUUGUUCUUCCUCCUCUUCUUCAAGCAUCAACUCCUCAUUCACUUCUAGGCUAUGUUUUAGACAUAUUGAGUUCAACUCUAACCUCUAUACCACUUCCCAAAGUGAUAGCUUCAGCGAUUUCAAAAUCUCCCCUUGGAUUGACAAUGGUUGAGUUGGAGAGUUCACUUUGUUCUUGAAUUUGUCCCAUGAAUUCCGCGAUCUCUCCCAUUUGAUUAUUCAAUUCACCCAACUUCUUGUCUUGAUUUUGUAGGUCCUGCGUCAAAGAGCUUAGUAAUUGAAGAAUGUGAUCACUAUCCAAAGACAUACCUGAAUUCGAUUGGAAUUGUUGUGGGGGAGGCUGUGGUGGAUGCAUCGGUGUUGUAUAGAACUCCUCAUAUGGCUGCCAAUAUUCUCCUUGUUGAGCCCUCUUGGCUUGAUUUUGUGAUCCCUGCGCCAAAGAAUUUAUUUCAUCAAAAAUUUUAUCAUAAUCUAUUGACGAACCUGAGUUUGGUUGGGUAUAUUGUAUAUGAGUUUGUUGUGGCUGCGCAGGGCUUGAAUAGAACUCAUUAUAUGGUUGCCAAUAUCCUUCGAGUUGAACUGGUUGAGGUUCCCACCACAUAGUGUUUGAAUGAUCACUCCAAUCUGAAUUAUACGUGUUGGAAAACAAGUUGUUCAUUGAUUGAUUAUGAUCAUGAUAACUCUCCCAAUUUCUUUGUGGAUGUUGAUCAGCUUGAUAUCCUUGCGUAUAGGACACAUCGAAUGUAGGGGUGCUUUGAAUUGUGGUCCUUUCGAUGUACUGUGACAAUUGAGAAGUAAGAUUUGUCAUUUGAGCUUGAAGAUUAGCAAUUGCCAUGUCUUACUUCUUUUAGUACCUGAUAUCAAAGAAAUAAAACUAAAUCAAAUAUCAAAAGUAACACAAAACAAAGAAAACAAAACUAAGUCAGAAACUAAAACAAAAACAACUAAACAAAAAGAAAAGACCCAAGGGUUUAGCAAAGUUGCUAAUCCCCGGCAACGGCGCCAAAAUUUGAUGUGAAAAAUAAGUUAACACACAAAAUUAAACCCUCUUUUUAUCAAAUGUAGUAAAGUAUGUAAGUAGGGAUCGUUCUAGGCCGGGGAUUAGGAGGGAUUGCUAAACACUUGAAAACUGACUUAAAAACAUAAAAACAAAAUUUAAAACACUAAACUAGACUCAAAGAAUGCAAAACUAUACUUUAAAAUACUUAAACAAACAUAAAACUCAAAACAGCAACCUAAUGACUCAAAACUGCCUAAAAACCACUUUCUGGGCAGUUUUGAGAACCUAACAAGAACUUGGACGAAGUUGGAUGAAAACUUGAAUCAAAACACUUAGAAACACAAAUCAAAAGACUUUCUAACUAAUCUAAGACUUCAAAAUAAAGGGGGAUUUGUUUUGGACGAAAAUUGAAAACAAAAAACAGACUUUAAAACAAAACAGAUUGUAAAACGUUUUGGGAUGAAAAGGAUGGAUAAAAGGCUAGUUAGGAGGUUCUUCUCCACACAUGACACACUUGCAAACAAAAUGAUUUUCAAUUGUUCUUUCAAUAAAUUAUGAAACUCAACACCCCAAGUUAAUUAGAUACGCUUAAAUUAACCUUCAAGUUCUCCUUAAGUUAAUGAAUUGGAUGGAAAAGCGCAUACAACAAUUCAAAGCAUUCCUCAAAGGUUCCUUACAUGAUGAGCACAAUAAAGAUACAAUCAAGAAUCAUGAAGCACAAUGAGAACUAUAAGUGUUGACGAGGCAUUCGUUACUAUGAUGAGCAUGAAACUAGUGCCAAGAAUUCAUUCAACGCGAUCGUUUUCAAACGACCUUCACUACUUGUGAUUAUAAGAUUGUAACUAUUAGGUGAAACUCCCUCAUAAUCUAGCAUCAUAUUCA